rnacentral:rRNA from 1 species
GCAUAUCAAUAAGCGGAGGAAAAGAAACCAACAGGGAUUGCCCCAGUAACGGCGAGUGAAGCGGCAACAGCUCAAAUUUGAAAUCUGGCCCCCCGGCCCGAGUUGUAAUUUGGAGAGGAUGCUUCUGGCGCGGCGCCGUCCGAGUUCCUUGGAACAGGACGCCACAGAGGGUGAGAGCCCCGUACGGACGGACGCCUAGCCUCUACGAAGCUCCUUCGACGAGUCGAGUAGUUUGGGAAUGCUGCUCAAAAUGGGAGGUAAAUUUCUUCUAAAGCUAAAUACCGGCCAGAGACCGAUAGCGCACAAGUAGAGUGAUCGAAAGAUGAAAAGCACUUUGAAAAGAGGGUUAAAAAGUACGUGAAAUUGUUGAAAGGGAAGCGCCUGUGACCAGACUUGCGCCUCGCGGACCACCCGGCGUUCUCGCCGGUGCACUCUGCGUGGCGCAGGCCAGCAUCGGUUCUCCCAGGGGGACAAAGGCCGCGGGAACGUAGCUCCUUUGGGAGUGUUAUAGCCCGCGGCGGCAUGCCCCUGGGGGGACCGAGGACCGCGCUUCGGCAAGGAUGCUGGCGUAAUGGUCACCAGCGACCCGUCUUGAAACACGGACCAAGGAGUCAAGCAUUGGGGCGAGUGUAUGGGUGCCAAACCCGCACGCGAAAUGAAAGUAAACGCAGGUGAGAGCUUCGGCGCAUCAUCGACCGAUCCUGAUGUCUUCGGAUGGAUUUGAGUAAGAGCCUUACCGCUUGGACCCGAAAGAUGGUGAACUAUGCCUGAAUAGGGUGAAGCCAGAGGAAACUCUGGUGGAGGCUCGCAGCGGUUCUGACGUGCAAAUCGAUCGUCAAAUUUGGGCAUGGGGGCGAAAGACUAAUCGAACCAUCUAGUAGCUGGGUACCGCG